CAUAAACCAUUUGGCUUUGCAAUUAAAAACAGGUUUGGCUUCCCUCUGCAUCAAUAAGGCAACGUCAAAGCAACAUUCAUCCCGAAAAUGUUCCCUUGUGAAUUCAAAUGAACUUUCAGUUCCUCCAUAAUCCAACUGGAUAUUCCAAGGAAAGGAAUCAUCAUGAUGCAGUUUAAGUGGUGAUGUCUGUCCCUGGACCAAUCAGGUCUGCCUCAAGAAUCAGGGUCCACACCACAUACAUCACUGCCAAUAUUCUCUUGGAAGCUUAAGGGAAAAGAACUAUCUGCAGGGAUCCUGGCUGAUACAGAAUGUCAGAUGGUGAUAGUAUGAUGGAGAAAAAAAUAAUAGAGCAGAGAAAGGGGACAGGAAGUGCUGAGGAAUCUCUCCACAGCACAAUGGUGUGCUUUCCACAUCAAUAAUCACAAGUAUUAAGUUGACGGAGGCAGAUAACCACGGAUGUACACCACCAAGAAUGCCCAUUUCUCAGGUCAACCAGGCAGUGGUGGUUUCUUCUCAGUGAUCUGCAGCAAAUCUCUAUGCCAUCUAAACGAACAGUGACUGAGAGGUCUGACAGAAAAGCAUGAGGGGAUCAAGGUCAACCAAAAACAAAGCAGUGAAUGUAUGAGUUCAUCUUUGGUGCCCUUCUCCGGAUGCUCUGCACUCUCUGUCUUCCCCUCCUGAAGCCCAUGAUCCUGAAUCAUGAAUGUAAGAGUUAAUCCUUUCACCUUCCUUACCAACUGGCACCAUCCUUCAGUCAAAACCAACCUGCUACCCACUUGAUUCACUGAGAGCCACCUAUGAAGUUAGAAAGGAUCCAAUAGGUUUCUACUGAUUUGCUGACAGUCACUAAGUCUUAAAUGGUUGUCUGUCUCAAAGAUGUUUGCGUUUUGUAAGGAGCAAAGCUGGUGGAAUUUAGGGCAUCUCUACAGGGGCAAUGGAAAGGGAUUUUUAAGUAAGGAAUUUAAAAGCA